rnacentral:rRNA from 1 species
GAUGAACGCUGGCGGCGUGCCUAAUACAUGCAAGUCGAGCGAACAGAUGAGGAGCUUGCUCCUCUGACGUUAGCGGCGGACGGGUGAGUAACACGUGGAUAACCUACCUAUAAGACUGGGAUAACUACGGGAAACCGGAGCUAAUACCGGAUAAUAUAUUGAACCGCAUGGUUCAAUAGUGAAAGACGGUUUUGCUGUCACUUAUAGAUGGAUCCGCGCCGCAUUAGCUAGUUGGGAAGGUAAAGGCUUACCAAGGCAACGAUGCGUAGACGACCUGAGAGGGGGGUAGGCCGCACUGGAGCUGGGACACGGUCCAGACGCCUGAGGGAGGCAGCAGUAGGGAAUCUUCCGCAACGGGCGGAAGCCUGACGGAGCAACGCCGCGUGAGUGAUGGAGAUGUUCGGAGCGUAAAACUCUGUUAUUAGGGAAGAACAAAUGUGUAAGUAACUAUGCACGUCUUGACGGUAACUAAUCAGAAAGCCACGGCUAACUACGUG